CUGUAAGGCCAUACCACCCUGAAGGUGGCCUGUCAUCUCCUCUGAUCUCAGAAGCUAAGCAGGGUCAGGUCUGGUUAGUACUUAGAUGGGAGAAUGUGUAUGAGACAUUGGCCUCUUCAUCAGU
rnacentral:rRNA from 1 species